rnacentral:lncRNA from 1 species
CCCCAGUCCCUCCCACUGUGGAUCCCUGCUAUCUUGCACCUCUCUGCUCUGCCUCGUUUUUGCCAUGCCUGCUCUGCAGCCCUAAUAAAAUCCAUCCCGGAAAUUUUAUCUCCUUGUCUCAUCCUGUCUGCUGUGAUCUGGACUGUUGAGACCAAUUGGACGAGAAAAAUUACUGAUUGGCAAGCGGAAGGUCUACGUCUCUGCAGAGUCCCCUGGGAGCCCCCGUCAGGCACAGUGCGAAAAGGAUCACUUCAAAGGGAGGAACUGUUUGAUUAAAAAAGUGAAUUAGUUCUUUUUUUUUGACAUAAAAAUAAACUUCUUGAUACACUUCACAACAACUUCCUCUCCUUGUACCGAGAUAGCCUCUCCCACACUGCUCGCUUUUUUAAUGAGAGUUAUAUAUCUGUACAUGCCGUCCCGCGGCUUAGUCCAGCCUGGAUGGGCGAAUGGGGAGCUGCUGGCUGCUGGUCUGCGGUGUGAGACGUUCGGUGCGCUGACGCUAAUCCAAAUACUCCCUUCUGGCCCGGGGCUCGGCACCGCUUUGCUUUCUGGCCCAGCUAUAAAGAGCCAAGAAACACUGCAAAACCACCUCUGACAGAAGAUCAGCGGGACAUGUGCUUAUAAAGGCCUGGGUGCAAAUACCGAAUAUUAGCACCAGGAGAGGUGUGACAGGCGCUAAGAGGGGGGUGUCCCGAACUAGCCAGAAACUCCAUGCUGAAUCGCUCCUCGUGCAUUCAAAGUCAUUUAGAAGGAUUUUGCAUCACUUGAAAGCUGACCGGGAACCGUUCCUAAGACCAGCACCCAGAGCUACGGACCCAGCCGUCCUGAGGCUUUUCCCCGCGUGCUGCCUCGGAUGGGGCUCCGCAGGGCUCGCUCCGGCGCGUGCUUUAGCAAAGAGCUAGUCCGAGGUGAAGGGGUGGUGGGUGGCCACAGCCUGCACGAGCUAGGCUCCGGGCAGGGAGAUCCCCCGCACAUCCGGAGCCGCGGCACGGCCGUGAGUCGGGGUGCGCAGUCACGUCCACGGGGGAGGCCGAGGGCCAGCAGGGCCGCCUUGCCAGGGGGCUCUCGCUGCCGGGGCCGGCGAGUGUGCAGGGUGGCGAAGCGAUGCCGGGGCGCGGACGAGGGUUCGCUCAGCUGUGCUGCCAGGGCUGAGCUACGGCCAGGGGUACGCGUGCACCUCAUCUGCCUGCCCGGGGACUUUGGGCACCCUUUGAGGCAGGAAGGGAAAGGGGAACUGCUGGUGCAGUGGGGAAGCCGCAGGACCGAGCGGCAGAAGGAAGCAGCCAAAGCAUGCAGCCCAGAGCGUCUCUCUGGGCUGUUGGGUGGGUUGUGCCACCGGUGCCACUUCUUUCUGGGGCUGGGACCACGCUCCUGCAGGCACCCGGCACCGUCUCCAGGGCACCGUCUCCAGGCGCCCGCAGCUGCUGGAGGCAGAGCAAGAAGCGUUCCUGCUUGCUACACUGGCAGCUCCUCAGCGGCUGAAGCAGCUGCCCUGGCGCUGUGCAGCCCUCAGCCUGGCUCUCCUUUGCCUGCUGCUCCUGCUGGCACAAAUUGUCCUCGUUGGCUUGAGCUUCCACUGGCGAUGCCAGUUCUGCCCAGCUGGCUGGUUCUGGGACGCAGGUCAGUGCUACUACUUCUCUUCUGCCAAAAAGACCUGGGAGCAGAGCAAAGAGGACUGCUGCUCCAGAGGGGCACAGCUGGUCACCAUCCGAACUAACGCCACCCUGGCGUUCCUGACGCGCAUGUCCGACACGGAUAUGUUUCACGUGGGGCUGAAGCGUGACAGUUCCCGGGCUGACUGGAAGUGGCUGGAUGGCACUGCGCUGAAGGGGCUCUUCCCAAUCCAGCGUUUCACCAGCUCUUUCCUGGCCUGUGGGAGGGUAUCUGGCUCAGGGCUAUCUGGCGGCCCGUGUGGGGAAGCCCGCGGCUGGAUCUGUGAGAAGAGCGCUGCUGCCCUGCAAUGGGUCCAGUCUGCACCCCCCACCUUCCUCUGGGGGAACACCACCUACACCUGCGCGGGGCCCUGGUGACCUGCAAGGACCUCCAGCAUGGCCACUCUGGCAGCGCAGGGACCCCACCACCCCUAUCCUACCCCUGCAGUCCAGCCUGAUCCGAGCUCCUGCACACUGGCAUCCUAGAUUGCGGUCUCCUAACGCAGAGCUCUUCUUCCCCCCCAGCCCGGAUCUGUGAACUUCGGCAAUAAACUCUGGCGCAUGGAUGCUGUAGCUGUCUUU